rnacentral:tRNA from 1 species
AUUUAAAUAAUUUAAAUUAAAAAUUUUGAUUUGUGGAAUCAAAUUUGUAAUACUUAAUUACUUUAAAUA